AUGUGAAGAAAGAAGGGAGUAACACAAUAAUGAGAGGACGAUAAUUUGAAUGAUGCUUUCUCUAUGUAGUUGAGGAGGGUGAAAGUCAAGGUCAUCUGCCGUCCUUCAAUAGUAGGUGUUUUCUAGGGUUUAAUCGAUCAGUAUGGUAACAACAAAUAUCAACUAGAAGGUUGGAUACAAAUUGCAGCCGAUGUAAAAUUUAAUUGAUUUUGAAGCCUUCGUUCUGAGAAAUUGAAGCUUUCUUUAUGGGUGAAGCCUUCGCUCAGGAGAAACUGUAAUAACUUUUGUUUUUGCUUUUGCUUCUCUAUUGCUACUUUCUUUUGAUGUCUCUCUCUUAAUCACACAAGAAUUCAUAGCUUUUAUGUCCAUGGAGUACGAAUAUGUUCUGUUUUCUUACUGA
rnacentral:lncRNA from 1 species